GCGCGCGGUGGAUUAGUGGCUAGCACGUUAGCGUCACACCUCCAGGGUCGGGGGUUCGAUUCCCUCCGCGGGCG